UCUAACCUACGGGGCGCAGCAGUGGGGAAUAUUGGGCAAUGGGCGCAAGCCUGACCCAGCAACGCCGCGUGAAGGAAGAAGGCUUUCGGGUUGUAAACUUCUUUUCUGAGGGACGAAGAAAGUGACGGUACCUCAGGAAUAAGCCACGGCUAACUACGUGCCAGCAGCCGCGGUAAUACGUAGGUGGCAAGCGUUAUCCGGAUUUAUUGGGUGUAAAGGGCGGGUAGGCGGGAAUGCAAGUCAGAUGUGAAAAAUAUGGGCUCAACCCAAAGCCUGCAUUUGAAACUGGAUUUCUUGAGUGCUGG
rnacentral:rRNA from 1 species